rnacentral:lncRNA from 1 species
GGACAUGGCAUGGAACGUGUGUGCGGAAAAGUUCGAACAUCAAGUGACCCUUGAAGCGCUACAACACUUAAAUGCACUCUUUCAGGAGUAUGAGAAAAGAGGAAGACAGCUGUUGGAUAUGGAGACUUUCAAAUGCAUAAUGAAGCAGAGCAUGAGGUUACAGAAUAAAAGUACUGAACAAAUAGAACAACUUUUCAUGAAAAUAGACUAUGAAGCAGUGGGCAGAAUUCAUUGGGAUGGCUUCUGCACAUAUCUGCAGUUAGCAUAUUCAGAGCAAGCUGAUGCUUUGGCUCGACAGAAAGAGGUUUCCUUCCAGCUGCCUGCUGUGCUGCAGGGACUGUCGUACGGGGGACCCGUGCUGCGCAUUCUCUCUGUGCCUGAUGACACCUUAAUCAUGAUCAGAGAAGAUGGAGCCAUUUAUUUCUGGUCCCUGCAGCUGAAGUUGAAAAGAAGAAAGCGAGUUUUUGACAAGCCCAUCAUUCGGAAGCGCCGGUGGGUGACGGAUGCCACCAGCAUGCCACAGUACAACAAACUGAUCCUAGGAACUGGAAACCGCGAAAUCCAGCUGUAUGAGUUCUCUAACUUGGAGCCUUACUGUCAGAUUGGUGGCCUGGAAGCUGUCCCUCUGAAACUGGACUACUGGUACGAGGAUCCUGACAAGUGCCUGAUUCUCUAUGGUGAUGACCAGGGAUGUGUGAACAUUCUGUUUUUGGCUUCUGUCGGUGAACUAUUAAGAACUUGGAAGAAGCUGCCCACAGUUGAGAACAUGCCAAACAUUAGCAUUAAUAAUGCUGUGAAUUCUCCAAAUGUGAAUUACAUCCGCUGGAAAGUGCACGGAGACUGGGUUACUCAGGUAAAAAAAAAAAAAAAAAAGUUUAAAUGUGAAUUAUAA